rnacentral:rRNA from 1 species
CCUACGGGAGGCAGCAGUGGGGAAUCUUAGACAAUGGGCGCAAGCCUGAUCUAGCCAUGCCGCGUGAGUGACGAAGGCCCUAGGGUCGUAAAGCUCUUUCGCCUGUGAUGAUAAUGACAGUAGCAGGUAAAGAAACCCCGGCUAACUCCGUGCCAGCAGCCGCGGUAAUACGGAGGGGGUUAGCGUUGUUCGGAAUUACUGGGCGUAAAGCGCGCGUAGGCGGAUUGGAAAGUUGGGGGUGAAAUCCCGGGGCUCAACCCCGGAACUGCCUCCAAAACUUCCAGUCUGGAGUUCGAGAGAGGUGAGUGGAAUUCCGAGUGUAGAGGUGAAAUUCGUAGAUAUUCGGAGGAACACCAGUGGCGAAGGCGGCUCACUGGCUCGAUACUGACGCUGAGGUGCGAAAGUGUGGGGAGCAAACAGGAUUAGAUACCCUGGUAGUCCACACCGUAAACGAUGAAUGCCAGUCGUCGGCAAGCAUGCUUGUCGGUGACACACCUAACGGAUUAAGCAUUCCGCCUGGGGAGUACGGCCGCAAGGUUAAAACUCAAAGGAAUGA